GGUACACACAUACAUACCUACAGAGCUUUUAUUUCACAUGGUGUGUAAGUCUAAAGCAUAUGAGUGUAAUGCUUUUGUGUCAGUUUACUGAUGUCCUUUGGUUUUGGACUGAAAGCCCACGGUGAGGUUUCAGAGUGGCAGCCUUCCCACCCGCUUGGAGGGUGUGAAGUAGAGUUUGUUUAUGCUACUACUGAGCUGAGAAUGAGCUGGGGUCCUGUGCUUGUGUCUGUCCUCUUACUUAUAUCUGGACAGUCUGGUGUUCAGCUGAGCUACAGAAAUGGGUUUUUUUACCAGUUGUUAGAUAGUAAAAGCAAACAAAAGUAUUUUUCAUUUGCUAUUAUGAACCAUGGUAUUUGUCUGAAGCAAUAGUGAAAACAGGUUUUUUUGUUCCAGUUGAACAAUGCCUAUCUGUUUUUAGUCUUGACAUAUGGGGUAUACCUAGGUGAGUGUGCUUGUGGAUGAAUGAACUAAAUCCUUAUAGACAGCUAUUAUCAUUUAAAAGCAUCUCUAUUUACCUUGUGGAGAUGUGACUGAUUUUACAAGGUACUGUGUGUUUCCUGGGAAGAAUGCUCCCAGCUCUUGGGGGAGAUGCUCAGCAUGUCUGUGGAGGUCUGUGGUCUUUAAGAUGGGGCACUUGACCAAGAUAAAAGUUAAGAUGACAUUAAAAAGCAAGGAACAGAAUUUUCAGUAGUAUCACUUGUAUGAUAGAAUCUAGAGACUCAAGCAGCAUGUUAGAUAAUCAUCCCAGGGGCUGUUGUGAAGUCUUCUUAGCUGUAUAUUUACAGUCCAGAUAUACAAAAUACAGUGAAGGAAGUACUUUGAUUCCAAAAUGGAGAAAUGAGCGACGAAAGGAAUAAACUACUUCUAUCACAUUUUAACCAGACUGGUACAGCUGGAAAUCAAACCCAAGAACACAGAAAGAACACAGUGCUGCUGAGUUCCAUAUUAUUUUUUCUGCUCCUGGUUGCUAUGCCAAGUUUCACUCCAAGAUAUUAGAGCCUAAAACAUAAUUGAAAACACUUUAUUUCAUGAGAAUUUCCUUUUACAUUUUUUUCCUCCCAUAGCCCAAUUAAUAUUGACUAGUUUCACUUUUGAUUUUAGCAAUUUCUACACAAUCACACAUUGGUUCCUGUUCUGUACUACAAGACAGCAGUGUUGUUUUGCUAUGAACAUUGUAAAGAGAGGCACAUCUCUUCUUAACAAAAACUUUUUCUACUAUUUGACAGUCUUCCUGUUAUCUCUGUAGUUAAAGGUCAUGUUAUGUUAUAGAACCUACCAGUGACCAGUGGCUCCUUUUUAAGGUCCAUUAAGACCAUCUUAGGAUCAUACCUGGAAGAAUAAUUCUGCUGCCAAAUAAGAGUAUGUCUGUAGUAUGCAGAUGAAUUGGAUGCAAUAUUCCUGAAGGAGGCUAUCAUAUAAACCUCUCAGCUGUUCAGACUUCCGACAGAUUUCUGCAGAUGAGAGUUUACCAAAGAUACUUUCUGUGUAGAGCUUAUUUGAGUUUGUUUUUUUUUUAAUUGUUCAUGGCUUUUAUCAACAUUUGCCAUGAUGAGCACUGCAUUUAGGGUGGAGCUGACUUGACAGGAGCAAGUUUGUUUCUCUGAUGAUUUGGUCUAGAUUUCUCAUGUAAGAUGGAUUUUAAUAGCCUGUUAGCAAGCUUCUGUGAGUUUUGCUCCUGGCUCUCCAAAAUUCUGAAAUUAAAAUGUCAUUUAAAGUCUGCUUUUAAUUCAAGUCCUUCUGCCGAAGUACGCCGAAGUACUUUGUGUAAGGAAGCAAACAGAACCCCCGACUCCCCGCGUCUCUUGCGCUCCGUUCUCGGCAAUAUCCCCGGUUUUAGGGCGUGCGAUGUGGCGGGGCCGGGAGCGGCUGCAGUGGCGCGGCGGGGCCGGCAGAGGGCGCGGCGGGCGGCGGGAGCUCCGCGCCGGGGCCGCUCCCAGCGGGAAUUCCCCCGCGGCAGGAGCCGCGCUCAGAGCCGCGUCUGUUGGCAGCAGCGCCCGGGCCGCCUUGAGCCCGGAGCAGAUCUCAACCUCACCCCUACUCACCCAUCUUUAUUUGUGUCACCUCAUGUAGAAGAAAACAAAACAAAAAAAAAACCCUUUAACUUUUUUGGGACGGGGAGGGUGGAUGGUUUUCAGUUCCCAUUUGAUUUGUUAGAAAGCACAUCUGCGCCCUGACCAUGCUGAGUCCUGAGCUUGGUCUAUCAUGUACCUAUGUGUGCCACACUUCCAUAGCACUUUGGAACAAAACAAAGCGUUACAUUGUGAAUCCAAAUCUGGGAGUGAGAUUGCCAGAGGUAUUCAGUUUUUGUAUUUGCUGUUUUUUUUAAUACCAGUAUAAGUAUUGAAUUCUCUCGGGCCUUUUCUUUUGGGUUUCUGGACUAAAUCUUACUAUGUGUUUAUUCAUCAGCUAAGCCUGCAGUUUACAGAUGGGUUCAUCAAUGCUCCUGAAUCGAAACAGUAGGCUCCAAUUCUCCACUAAUCUUGUCUUCACAGCAGGACAUGGCACUACAGGCAAGAGCUGCUGCUUUAAGGCACUUACACAUCCAACUAUGACUUGUGUUAGAAAAAGUGACUUUCUGUCACCAAGAGAAAACUCAUAAGUGUGGGACCUCCUUGUGAAUCAGCUUCUUUCUAUUAUACACACAUUUAACCAGUUUAUUCCAUCUCAUCCACCCCCUUUAAAUUCUGCCUACAACAGGGACCUUUGCUGGUUCAGAUCUCUAACCAGAUAAAAUUUGCUUUUCUUUUCUUACAUGGCACUAUGAGUAACAGAGAACCUGUCUCUUUUUGCGUGCAUUCACUGACGCAGAAUCACGGCAUAGAAGUCCUGCAGUGAAAUAUGCAUUUUUUUGAUUGCCAGUCUGCAGUAGAGGCACCCAUCUCUGCACUUCAAGUCAUACCACACCAUCACAUCCUUGUAUCUCCUAUGCCCCACACAGGACCAGGGCCAAUGGAAUGUCUUGUUCUCUCAGCUUCUCAGUAUGUGAAAUGGAGGUGCUAAAACAUCAGCCUCCUUUGACUCAGAGGAAUACCUAAUCGAUAUCUAAUAAAUACUUUUAGAGAGAUUGGAAGGUGUAUGGGAGGCCUCUAUAUAAAAAGAAAUUAAUGAAUAAAUCAUACCAUUAGCCAAGCCCUCAAAGUGUUUUGGCCAUCAGCAGAAAUCCUUGCAAAACUGGUAUGGAAGUGUGCCAGCUCUGAUGCACAGCCUGGGCUUAUAUGUACCAGGAUGAUGAUGAAAAAAUAAGUAAUUUGUUACACACCCAUAUAUACAAAUAAAGAGACUCACCACAGGUGAAUUGUUGAGCCAGUUUUUGCAAGGCUGGCUGUGCAGUAUAAUUGGUGGAAAGAUAUCUCGAGUUUUGCAUGGUGUAAUUCUUCUUGCUUUGUUUUUCUGGCCACUGGGGAGCCAGCCUUCUGUAUGUCAUGGCUGCCAGGGCUGUGGUAACCUUUCCUUCAAAUAAUGCACCGCUCUUGCUGGCUCUUGUUACAUGUGGUAAGCUGCAAAUUCUUAGACUAAUUCAGCUCAGUGACUGUAAGUAAAUGUGUAUUUUCCCCCAAAUGGAAUUUCAUGAUUUUGCAGUUAUGGAAGUAAAACACUUAUUUCUAGAAAAGCAGAAAAUAUUCUAUAAAUAGUCCAGUCAAGAAAACAAAAACAUUGUUUCUGCUGUUUAAUUCCACAGUCAUGCUGGUAGAAUUUACAGGAUUAACUUUGUGUAAAUAGUUUCUCUUUCAUUUGUAAGAUCUGGAACAGGUCACUACAUGUAUUUUAUAUUCAAAGUUUUACCAGGAGAACUCUGUUGUUUAGCUAAGAUGGCUUGUAUGAAUCACCCAGGAUUACUCCUGGUUCUUGUGUGGCUGAGCCAGUUUGCAUAAUUAGGAGAGAGAUGCAUGAAAAAGCUACUGGGCUUUGGAACCCCUCUGGGUUUUGAUCAAAAGCCCACUGAAGCCAAACCCUUUGGCUCUAGUCAUCAGGCUAAGGCAGCAGUAGCAACUGAACAAGAUAAGGCAAUUUUGGAAGCUGUAAAAUCUAGUUUUCUGAGUUCUCUGGAUCUUAUCACUGGGAAUGGAACAUAGGAUGCAUGUGUAGCGUCCCACAGACACAAGGCUGUUGUAAUUCCAGAAACAGCGCAGCCACUUAAAAGUAUUUGUUUUCCACCAGUGUGUCAUCUUAGCUGUAUUUAGUAUAUUUGUGAAAAUAGGGUUAUGAUUACUUUGGAGGCAGGCUGUUCUGAAAAAUGUUCUGGUUAUUACAGUGGGACAUUAAAUGGAAGGAAUGAAUUGUGCUGUUGGUCUCCUCGGAACCUCUACAGUGUGACUGCAGGUCAUCUCUUGGGGCUUGAUCUGCGAGACAUGAUGGGGAGGGCUCAGGCAGCUGAGGUGGCGUUGGCUUGAAAUACCUGGGCUGCUUGAGAGAGAGCUUCCUUGUGCUGCCACCACCCUCUCUGAGCUAUCCAGCCCAUUGUUUUGCUCUUUCACUGUUCUUGGCUACUGUGUUUGACCUACAUCUGGCUGCUAGGACACAUCUUUGGGAAAAGGUUAUUCAGCAUGUGCCUCUGAAGCUGCCAAGGCCUGACUGACAGUGCUGUGUCUCUAGGAGACACAUUAUUCCUCCUGGAGAGAUAGAACGCUGUGGGAUUUAUCCCUCUGCUAUGAAGUUAACAUUUAUGCAUGUAAGUAACCACCAGGAUUAUUUAUUAAUGAAAUAAACAGAUUUUACCUUAAAAUGAAGGGAGAGUGAAGGUAAACUCAAAGCUUACCAGACAAAAGGGCUAUGGCAACCACUGGGGAAGCACCAGGGGAUGGUGCCUGGGGAAAUGCUGGAACCUGUCAGAUCCUUUUCCCUCAAGGCACAAAUCACCAGCUCUCCAGCAUGGGGAGGGGCAGACAGGAGGCUGUGUGCCCUGUAGGAGUCUUAAGAGCUAGAACUGAACCUGAACAGCUUUCCUGGCAAGCCUACUGCCCCUUUUAUAAGUAUAGCCAGUAAAAAUGGCUGAAAAAGGAUAAGCCAUAUCGUCAAAAGGGUUUUUGUGGUGCACAGGUACUGUUCAGAUGCAAGUACUGGACACAAAAUCCUAGGAAAUGGAUAUUUUUAAUCUAAUUCUUUGCAUGUAUUUUGUGUGUUCAUAGGAGUAGUUCUGGGAAUUCUCUGGUAAUCACAUGAAAAA